rnacentral:rRNA from 1 species
AACGAACGCUGGCGGCAUGCCUAACACAUGCAAGUCGAACGAGACCUUCGGGUCUAGUGGCGCACGGGUGCGUAACGCGUGGGAACCUGCCCUUAGGUUCGGAAUAACUCCCCGAAAGGGGUGCUAAUACCAGAUAAUGUCUUCGGACCAAAGAUUUAUCGCCUUUGGAUGGGCCCGCGUUGGAUUAGCUAGUUGGUAGGGUAAAAGCCUACCAAGGCGACGAUCCAUAGCUGGUCUGAGAGGAUGAUCAGCCACACUGGGACUGAGACACGGCCCAGACUCCUACGGGAGGCAGCAGUGGGGAAUAUUGGACAAUGGGCGAAAGCCUGAUCCAGCAAUGCCGCGUGAGUGAUGAAGGCCUUAGGGUUGUAAAGCUCUUUUACCCGGGAUGAUAAGGACAGUACCGGGAGAAUAAGCUCCGGCUAACUCCGU